AACGCACAUUGCGCCCUCUGGUAUUCCGGGGGGCACGCCCGUCCGAGCGUCAUCUCUACCAUCCAGCCCGGCUGGGUCUUGAGCCGCGGGCGACCUCGCGUCGCCCGCCCUCCAAAUCGCUCGGCCGCCCGGCCGCGUCGGGGCGUCAGGACGGAUCACCGUUCGCCCACGAUGCGCCGUCCGCGGUGGCCGCUGUCGGAAAUCAUUCACAAGGUGGACCUCGGAUCGGGCGGGGAUACCCGCUGAACUUAA
rnacentral:misc_RNA from 1 species